rnacentral:rRNA from 1 species
AUGAAUGGCACCGCCUACUUCGGAGGGUUGAUCGGCCGCGUCGCCAACAGGAUCGCCAACGCCCGGUUCACGCUGGACGGGAAGGCCUACCGCCUGGUUCCUAAUGAUGGCAAUAACACGCUGCACGGUGGUUACCGGGGAUUCGACAAGGUCAUAUGGACGGUGGAGCAGCACGUCGCCGGCAGCGGCUCCCCCUUCAUCACUUUCUACUACCAUAGCUUCGACGGAGAGCAAGGGUUUCCAGGCGACGUGGACGUGCACGUGACGUACCAACUCUCGAGCCCGCACGUGUUGAGCGUGCGCAUGAACGCGACGGCAUGGGGCAAGGCCACCCCGGUGAACCUGGCGCACCAUGCCUACUGGAACCUCGACGGCCACGGUAGCGGCAGCGUCCUCGGCGAGGAGGUCCGCCUCUUCGCGUCCCGAUACACGCCCGUGGACGCCGCGCUCAUCCCGACGGGCCGCCUGGCGCCCGUGGCCGGCACGCCGUACGACUUUCGCACGCCGGCCGCCGUGGGCUCGCGCAUCGGCGGCCUACUCAGCCGCGGCGUCAAUGGGUACGACAUCAACUAUGUUGUGGACGGCGGAGGCCUGCGCCCGGUGGCGGUCGUCCGAGACGGCGCGUCCGGCAGGGUGAUGGAGCUGUGGGCGGACCAGCCCGGGGUGCAGUUCUACACGGCCAACGGGCUCAGCGGGGUGAGGGGGAAGGGUGGCAAGGUCUACGGCCACUACGGCGCGCUCUGCCUGGAGACACAGGGGUUCCCCGACGCCGUGAACCGCCCGAGCUUCCCGUCGCAGAUCGUCCGGCCGGGGAAGGUGUACAGGCAUGACAUGGUGUUCAAGUUCUCCUUCUAG